rnacentral:rRNA from 1 species
GACGUAGGGCGCGAGCGUUGUCCGGAUUUAUUGGGCGUAAAGAGCUCGUAGGCGGCUUGUCGCGUCGUCCGUGAAAACCCACAGCUCAACUGUGGGCUUGCGGUCGAUACGGGCAGGCUAGAGUUCGGUAGGGGAGACUGGAAUUCCCGGUGUAGCGGUGAAAUGCGCAGAUAUCAGGAGGAACACCGGUGGCGAAGGCGGGUCUCUGGGCCGAUACUGACGCUGAGGAACGAAAGCGUGGGGAGCGAACAGG